rnacentral:rRNA from 1 species
UACGUAGGUGGCGAGCGUUGUCCGGAUUUACUGGGCGUGAAGGGAGCGUAGGCGGACUUUUAAGUGAGAUGUGAAAUACUCGGGCUCAACUUGAGUGCUGCAUUUCAAACUGGAAGUCUAGAGUGCAGGAGAGGAGAAUGGAAUUCCUAGUGUAGCGGUGAAAUGCGUAGAGAUUAGGAAGAACACCAGUGGCGAAGGCGAUUCUCUGGACUGUAACUGACGCUGAGGCUCGAAAGCGUGGGGAGCAAACAGG